rnacentral:tRNA from 1 species
AAAAAACAAAUUAGAGCUUGAUAGUAAGCGUUCCAUUUACACUGGUAUUAUUAAUUGUGCAAUUCAAUUUAAUUUG